GGCGCGCGGCACUGCAGCUGAGGACCCCCGCGUUCCCUAGCAACGCCCCAAACCUGCGGAGGCGACUCCUGCACCCGCCGGGCCCACGCUGGGGGUAGGCGAGGGGAGACGCGCCUCGCCGGGCUUCUUCCUGAACAGGGUUUCUCUCCUUCCUCCGUGAAAAAGGAUCCCGAGGUGGAGGUGGGGAAGGAAAUGGUUUAAGUUAAUUUAAACUGUGUCCGCCGCGGGCAGCAAUCCAAGAAAGCCUUUUCUUUUCUUUUUUUUCCCUUGAGUCACGGUGGAGGAACUCAGAAGCUCUUUGCUGCAGCCCAGUGGCCGCCGGCGGAACCUGACGGGGCUCGGAGGCCCGGGCGGGACAGGGCCAGGCCGUGAGCGUGCCCUUUAUCCCCCACAGCCGUGAGUUUGGGGGCAUCUGUCCCCCUUCGCAGGAUGAAGGCUGGUAACCCCAGUGUUAACCUCUGCAGAACUUAGAGGCAACAUCAAGUUAAAAGGAGGAGACCAGCUUCCCUCUCCACAUGCUCCCAGCAUGAUCCACUGCCCUACCACAGUACUGAAAGCAACACAACCAACUAUUCUUGGACUAAAGCCUCCAAAACUAUGAUUUAAAAUAAAGCUUUCCUCCUUUGAAG